rnacentral:rRNA from 1 species
CAAUAGCGUAUAUUAAAGUUGUUGCAGUUAAAAAGCUCGUAGUUGGAUUUCUGGUGGGAGCGAUCGGUCUGGCGCUUAGCGCGAGUACUUGCAUCGUCUCCGGCCAUCCUUGGGGAGAGUCUGUCUGGCAUUAGGUUGUCGGGCAGAGGAUCCUCAUCGUUUACUGUGAAAAAAUUAGAGUGUUCAAAGCAGGCUUAUGCCGUUGAAUAUAUUAGCAUGGAAUAAUAAGAUAGGACUUUGGUACUAUUUUGUUGGUUUGCGCACCAAAGUAAUGAUUAAUAGGGACAGUUGGGGGUAUUCGUAUUCCGUUGUCAGAGGUGAAAUUCUUGGAUUUGCGGAAGACGAACUACUGCGAAAGCAUUUACCAAGGAUGUUUUCAUUAA